AUGUGCCAUAGUUUGCUGAUUCCUGCUUUUGGGGUUGAACGUUUGUUUUGCACAAUUUAGUCCUAUAUCAUGUUUUCCCUUAUGUUGUUUCAGGUAGAUUUGUCUGUCUCCUUGUUUGGAAUGUGAGAGAAGUUUAGUAUCUUGAGAGCAUGGUCUGUCACUUAACAGCUGUAUGAACUUGGGUAAGGCACAUCCCAUCAGGCUGUUACUUCCAUCCUGGUGCUGCUCAGCUUUGAUCCGGGAAAAUGAAAGGCCAGGCUGCUGGGUCCCCAGCUGCCAUCUUUUGCAGCAAGAGUGAGACUUCAUGAUCCCGCUGGCUCACGUACACUUCAUUUCCCAGUAAUUAAACAAGUGGAGAUCAAAGCCGACAAAUCUCCCCCAUCUCUCAGCGCGGUAGAUGAAAGUUCCAGAUUCCAGAGAGAGAAGGAGGGAGAGAUCCAACCGACCUAGGCUGUCGAGUGAGGCAGCUGAAGUCACCGUUUCCUGGCCAGGCAGUGGGUGGUCCAGGCCACUCCCCCAGCUGGUUAGCUGCAAGGGUGGGGCCUUCUGCCCAAUGUCACAUGGUAAGAAAUGCCAGCUGCCCCCUCAGCCGCAGACAUGGGUGGGAGGGUCCCCACAUGAGGGACUCUGGCUGUGUGAGGCUGCUCUGGACACUGUUGGGUGUCAGAGCAGGACUGAGAGGCUGAUGGCUUGGGUAGACUCUUGGCUGGCUUGUCAUCAGCUGUUCUGUUUGUUUUGAGAUGUAAUUCACAUCCCAUGAUAGUCACUGUUUUAAAGUGCACAAUUCAGUGGUAUUUAUUAUAGUCACAGAGUUUUGUGACCAUCACCUCUAUCUAAUUGCAGAACAUUUUCAUCACUCUCUGUAUUCAGGGACUUACUUCCCUGGCGAUCCAAUGGUUAAGAUUCUGAGUUUCCACUGCAGGGGGUGCAGGUUCGAUCUCUGAGAAACUAAGAUUCCCCCCAUGCCAUACAGUGCUGCCAAAAGUUGGGGGGAGAAAAGAAAUUCAGUACUCAAAGCUGUCACUUUCCAUUUCCCCUCCCCUAGCCCCAGGCAGUCACUGAUCUACAUUCUGUACCUAUAGAUUUGCCUUUUCUGAAUAUUUCAUAUAAAUAGGGUCAUUCAGUAUGUAGAUUUUUGUGUUUAUCUUCUUUUAUCUGGCAUAAUAAUUCAAGAUUCAUGCACAGCACAAAUCAGUUCUUCAUUUCUUUUUAUGUCUGAAUAACAUUUCAUUUUAAGGCUAUACCACAUUUUAUGGGCUUCCCUGAUAGCUCAGUUGGUAAAGAAUCCACCUGCAAUGUGGGAGACCUGGGUUUGAUCCUUGGGUUGGGAAGAUCCCCUGGAGGAGGGCAUGGCAACCCACUCCAGUAUUCUAGCCUAAAGAAUUUCAUGGACUGUAUAGUCCAUGGGGUCACAAAGAGUUGGGCACAACUCAGCAAAUUUCACUUCACUUCACCACAUUUUAUUUUUCCGUAUAUCAGUUGAUGGAUGUUUGUGUUUGUUUUUUUUUUGUUUGUUUUUACUUUUUGGCUAUUAUGAAUAAUA
rnacentral:lncRNA from 1 species